UACGUAGGGGGGCAAGCGUUGUCCGGAUUUAUUGGGCGUAAAGAGCGUGUAGGCGGCCAGGUAGGUCAGCUGUGAAAACUCGAGGCUCAACCUCGAGACGUCGGUUGAAACCAUCUGGCUAGAGUCCGGAAGAGGAGAGUGGAAUUCCUGGUGUAGCGGUGAAAUGCGCAGAUAUCAGGAGGAACACCAAUAGCGAAGGCAGCUCGCUGGGACGUGACUGACGCUGAGACGCGAAAGCGUGGGAGCAAACAGG
rnacentral:rRNA from 1 species